rnacentral:rRNA from 1 species
GGAGUCUGGUCCGUGUCUCAGUACCAGUGUGGGGGACCUUCCUCUCAGAACCCCUACGCAUCGUCGCCUUGGUGGGCCGUUGCCCCGCCAACUAGCUAAUGCGCCGCAUGCCCAUCCCCGGCCGGAAUCCUUUCACCGCAAACCCAUGCGGGAUCGCGGCGCAUGAGGUAUUAGGCCCAGUUUCCCGGGUUUAUCCCUCUGCCGGGGGCAGGUUGCAUACGUGUUACUCACCAGUGCGCCGGUCGCCGCCGGGAGUGUUGCCACCCCCGCGAUGCCCCUCGACUUGCAUGUGUUAAGCCUGUCGCUAGCGUUCAUC